rnacentral:lncRNA from 1 species
GAAAGUGAUGCCCCAAAGUUUAGUUAUUGGUACAUGAAAAUAUUAUGAUUGGGAGUGGAAAAGUGCUACACGAAAAGUGAUGAAAUUGUAGUCAAACAUGUUAGAAUGAACCUGUUUUGGCCCUGGUCCUAUCUUGGACAUUGUGCACCUCGACUAAGGCAAAUAGCCUAAGCUGAGGGUGGCUAUCAUAGGGACGCGUAACAAGAAAUUAAUGCAAAAUAAAAAGAGUUGUAUACUCCCAUCAUAGUGUUUUUGAUUAAGCAAUAAAAUGGGGCGAAAAUAAAAGAGGUUGGUAGGUGAAAGGAAGGUAGAUUGGUUGUUAAAAGUUGG